AGAGUUUGAUCCUGGCUCAGGACGAACGCUGGCGGCGCGCCUAACACAUGCAAGUCGAACGAGAGAGAGGAAGCUUGCUUCCUCAAUCGAGUGGCGAACGGGUGAGUAACGCGUGAGGAACCUGCCUCAAAGAGGGGGACAACAGUUGGAAACGACUGCUAAUACCGCAUAAGCCCACAGCUCGGCAUCGAGCAGAGGGAAAAGGAGCAAUCCGCUUUGAGAUGGCCUCGCGUCCGAUUAGCUAGUUGGUGAGGUAACGGCCCACCAAGGCGACGAUCGGUAGCCGGACUGAGAGGUUGAACGGCCACAUUGGGACUGAGACACGGCCCAGACUCCUACGGGAGGCAGCAGUGGGGAAUAUUGCACAAUGGGGGAAACCCUGAUGCAGCGACGCCGCGUGGAGGAAGAAGGUCUUCGGAUUGUAAACUCCUGUUGUUGAGGAAGAUAAUGACGGUACUCAACAAGGAAGUGACGGCUAACUACGUGCCAGCAGCCGCGGUAAAACGUAGGUCACAAGCGUUGUCCGGAAUUACUGGGUGUAAAGGGAGCGCAGGCGGGAGAACAAGUUGGAAGUGAAAUCCAUGGGCUCAACCCAUGAACUGCUUUCAAAACUGUUUUUCUUGAGUAGUGCAGAGGUAGGCGGAAUUCCCGGUGUAGCGGUGGAAUGCGUAGAUAUCGGGAGGAACACCAGUGGCGAAGGCGGCCUACUGGGCACCAACUGACGCUGAGGCUCGAAAGUGUGGGUAGCAAACAGGAUUAGAUACCCUGGUAGUCCACACCGUAAACGAUGAAUACUAGGUGGUGGAGGAUUGACCCCUUCAGUGCCGCAGUUAACACAAUAAGUAAUCCACCUGGGGAGUACGACCGCAAGGGUGAAACUCAAAGGAAAUUACGGGGGGCCCGCACAGGCAGUGGAGUAUGUGGUUUAAUUCGACGCAGCGCGAAGAACCUUACCAAGUCUUGACAUCCUUGACAGAAGCAGGAAACAGUAUUUCUCUUCGGAGCAAGGAGACAGGUGGUGCAUGGUUGUCGUCAGCUCGUGUCGUGAGAAGUUGGGUUAAGUCCCGCAACGAGCGCAACCCUUAUGGUCAGUUACUACGCAAGAGGACUCUGGCCAGACUGCCGUUGACAAAACGGAGGAAGGUGGGGAUGACGUCAAAUCAUCAUGCCCUUUAUGACUUGGGCUACACACGUACUACAAUGGCGUUAAACAAAGAGAAGCAAGACCGCGAGGUGGAGCAAAACUCAGAAACAACGUCCCAGUUCGGACUGCAGGCUGCAACUCGCCUGCACGAAGUCGGAAUUGCUAGUAAUCGUGGAUCAGCAUGCCACGGAGAAUACGUUCCCGGGCCUAGCACACACCGCCCGUCA
rnacentral:rRNA from 1 species